GUGCUGUAUGGAGUCCACCGGGGGCGCUAGCGAGUCACGAGCCACGACUGUGACCUGCGUGGUUUUUGCGCCACUGCUGCAGUGUGAGUGCGGACAGGUGAUGCGAAGCCAUCAGAUCUGACUGUGACUUCAAUCCCAGUUGAACUUGACCGUGGCUCUAUGCUCGUAUUGCUGGGUGAUGUGAGCUGAGUCAUACAAACCCUGAAUGUGCCAGAAGAGUUUUGCUUUGUUUUGCACAACAGGAGAGGAACUCAAAAUGGUGAACCUGCAGUUUGUGUCAGCGAUGUGCUGCCCUCUUCUCCUCCUGCAACUUGGAUGGAACUGGAAGACAGGACGCUGCGUGGAGUAAACUGGGCCCGUGGGACGGAUACCUCGGGUUCUCACCCCAGGUCCAGACUUACAGAAUUCACUUUUAAGAUGGGAGCAUAAAGACAGGCAAGCCAUCCUUGAAGUUUGGCGAUCAUCGACAGACAGGCACCGAGAUAAUUAUUUACAGGAUACAAAAGAAAAGGUGAAGAGCCAGGGAUGUAGCUCAGUGGUGCCGCUGCCUAUCUCACAAG